GUCCUGAAACACCAUUGUUAACACUUGGUUCUAAAUUUGCCUCCAGGAAGCAAGCUUGGGACUAGCAAAGAGAAAAUAAGAGAGAAAACAGAAAAUCUGAACUGAAACUGAACUUAACAGCCUACAUUUCUUCUAAGAAAGUUAGCAACAAAAUCAGCAAUUUGAGGGCAAAUUCACGCCAGAUCUGCAGAGCUUGAGAAGGAGUGAUCCAGACACGCAGGUAAGAGUUUGCCUCUUUGCAGAUUUAGAAUGGACAACUAAAGA
rnacentral:lncRNA from 9 species